CUCAGUUUCAGUUUACAAAAUCAUAUCAUCAACAUAUUGUAACAAGCAUUCUGGCCUAGAAAACAUAGCCAAAACAUUUACCAAGGCCUGAUGAAAAUAUAUUGGAGAACUGUGAAAUCCCUGAGGUAACACAGUAAACACAUAUUGCUGAUUUUGAAACGUAAAAGCAAACUUUUAAUACUGGCCAAAUGUUACUGUUACAUGGACUAUUUGCUUUCCUAAUCACCCCUCUCUGUUUCAAAUCAUUAGUGACACUUGCAAUAGAAUCAAUUGAAUCUGGGGGUAAUCGAUACUGGCUCUGUGGGAGUGGAUCAGGACCUUGAAUGUCAGUCAACACAUUUUUAAACCUUCCACAUUAAUUUUUACUUUGCGCCCAUAAAUCUGGAUAACUCUGUACAAUCUCUUUAAGUUCAAGGUUAUCCCUAGUAUUAGGCCAUUGCAUUUCUUUAGAUACUACUUCUACUGGACAAACAAUUCCUAACUCCCCAUAUUCAGAAGGAUCCAAUAGCACUGGUUUCCUACCCUUAGCAUUU